rnacentral:rRNA from 1 species
GACGAACGCUGGCGGCGUGCUUAACACAUGCAAGUCGAACGGAAAGGCCCUGCUUUUGUGGGGUGCUCGAGUGGCGAACGGGUGAGUAACACGUGAGUAACCUGCCCUUGACUUUGGGAUAACUUCAGGAAACUGGGGCUAAUACCGGAUAGGAGCUCCUGCUGCAUGGUGGGGGUUGGAAAGUUUCGGCGGUUGGGGAUGGACUCGCGGCUUAUCAGCUUGUUGGUGGGGUAGUGGCUUACCAAGGCUUUGACGGGUAGCCGGCCUGAGAGGGUGACCGGCCACAUUGGGACUGAGAUACGGCCCAGACUCCUACGGGAGGCAGCAGUGGGGAAUAUUGCACAAUGGGCGGAAGCCUGAUGCAGCAACGCCGCGUGCGGGAUGACGGCCUUCGGGUUGUAAACCGCUUUCGCCUGUGACGAAGCGUGAGUGACGAUAAUGGGUAAAGAAGCACCGGCUAACUACGUA